rnacentral:lncRNA from 1 species
UUCAUUUUGUUUUUUUAUGUAAAACCGGUGAGGAAAAUUCUGUACAAGAUAAUAACUUAACCAUGAAUUUUUAUUAACCAAUCUAUUUGAAAAAUUACAAAUAUAAUAAUAAAAUAACUGCAUAUAAGGCACAAAAUCUCAACACUUUUUUGGUAUGAUGGCGAAAGGCUCUUAGUGUACUGAUGAAGGGUUCCUAAUGGUGUAGGUGAAGUGCCCCAUUAUUGUGCUACUGAAGGGUUCCUAAGGCGCCCCAUGGUUGACCCCUUCUUGGGGUGUAGAGAGUGCUUCUGUUGACAUAUUUAAGGGAAGCAUCUUUGUUUCCCCUAAAGUUUAAACCUCCAAGAAGCCUAAAUAUUGCAAAAACUUAAAGAGACCACUUACAAUAUUAAAAGCUUCAAAAGAUUCAUUAUUCGAGAAAGAUAAAAGAGCUUGAGGGGAUUAAGUCAAGGAUUCUUACUUAUGGAAGAGACAUAAGUUUUUGUUCAGUUCCCAUAGAUGACACCAAUUGUUGUAACAUUUAUGUUACACCAAAGGUAAAAUGAUACAAUGGUUCCAGUUCACACCGUAAAUAGAUGUGAAAAAUCGCAAUAAUAUGGGCAAUUUACGUUGUAAAUGGUUGAAAGAGUUGUUAGAAUGGAGGUUUGAGGAAGU